ACAAUCUUUGGAGUGAUCAAGUCGUUCGAGUGAUCAAGGACAGCGAUAAUUAGCCUGAUAAUAAAAACAACCGACCUCGGAAGUUCUAGUAGUCAGUGAAGCUUUAUGUGUCGAACUGACUCUCCUGUGUUGCAGCAUCUCUAACAUUCUGAAAAAGAAAAACAUCCUAAUAAAACGAGAACUUAUUCUAGGACGAACAGAAUACUAAAAAAUGGGACAAAAUGCCAAAAAAUGGGAACUUGAAAAAAUCCCUGUGAUUUCAUCCCCUGAGGUAGCAAGAGAAUUCCUGAAUGCCUCACUGUCACUGAAUGACGAAACUGACCCAUAUUCACAAAAUGCGAGCAAACUUGCUCUUAGUUUCCGGAAUUUUAAGCCAGAGGAAGCCAUGCGCCUACUUGUCAAUACAGCGUCAGCGAGAAAAAUAUCCAUGAAGGAAUUUUUUCAAGAAAUUAAGGAAUUUAUUUAUAUUGGAUUUUGCGAGGAUUCUGACUGAUGACCUGACAAACAGGGCUAUGCCAUCGUCUUUCGAAGAAGAAAAUGGAGAAGAAGAAGAAGAAGUGGACGAAGAACAUGAUUGUUUUAGCAAGAUUUUGGGAGUCCGGCAGGUAUAAUAUUUGUAGAUAGGCAGAAGUCGAAGUGAUGCUCAAACAGUAAGUUUGUGAAAGUUUAACGCAUUUAUUAUCCAUAGCUACAUAUAUAAUGAUAUUUUUUCACUAUGUAAAAGUCAUCCCGUUGGGAAAAUAAUGAAAACUCAUAAUACAGCCACCAGCUAUUAGUAAUUAUA